CUGGGAAGCGCACGGCCGCAAAUCUGACUUCGUCACGCCAAUUGCGUGACUCGGGAUUGCGGAAGUGC
rnacentral:ncRNA from 1 species